rnacentral:rRNA from 1 species
CACGUAGUUAGCCGGUGCUUAUUCUGCAGGUACCGUCAUCACCCCAGGGUAUUAGCCCAGAGCUUUUCGUUCCUACCAAAAGCGGUUUACAACCCGAAGGCCUUCUUCCCGCACGCGGCAUUGCUGGAUCAGGCUUGCGCCCAUUGUCCAAAAUUCCCCACUGCUGCCUCCCGUAGGAGUCUGGGCCGUGUCUCAGUCCCAGUGUGGCUGGUCGUCCUCUCAGACCAGCUACAGAUCGUCGGCUUGGUAGGCCUUUACCCCACCAACUACCUAAUCUGACAUCGGCCGCUCCAGAGGCGCGAGGCCAAACAUUGCUGCUUGGUCCCCCGCUUUCAUCCUCAGAUCACAUGCGGUAUUAGCACAGCUUUCGCUGCGUUAUCCCCCACCUCUGGGCACGUUCCGAUGCAUUACUCACCCGUUCGCCACUCGCCGGCACCCCGAAGGGCCCGCUGCCGUUCGACUUGCAUGUGUAAGGCAUGCCGCCAGCGUUCAA